ensembl:lncRNA
AUGGUCCCAGGCCUCACCCUACAGGGUCCACUACCGCGGCCUAGGAGUCCUCCGAGACCUGCUCUUGAGUGCUUCCGCCCCACUCCACUCCUCGAGACCUUCUCCUCAGGAUCCACCAUCCACCAAAACAACAGGAAGUCAGGAAAAAAGGCCCACUCCCGCCCAUAUGCCUCUUCCCUCUCACUCAUUCCUCUUAUUCUCCUCACCACUCUCUAUUCCUUCCCAUUUCCGUCACUCACUUCCCCUCCUCCACCCCAUUCCCCAUAUCCUCACUAUCGUCUCACCAUUCUUCUUCCCCCCUCCCACACACACACACACACUCUUUCCCCGCUCACUUCCAUUUCCCCAUGUUUAACACACCCCUCUCCAUUCGUUAAUAAAAUGGUGUGAUCUAUAUGUGUCCAUAAACAUUUAGAAGUACUUCUAUGGCUGAUUUCUGCUAUUUCAUCCUGAUUUAGACUGAAUAAGUUGUGUCUGGAAAGUGAGCCAUCUCAGUUCUCCAGAUUCCUGAUUUAAUGCCUUUCCUCCUCUUUUGACAGCCAAACUAAUUUUAUGACAAUCACUUUACACAGAAAUAAAGUUUUCCUCUAAACCAAGUCACUCAGAAAGGUGUAUUUCCAGUGACAUAAUAACAAAGUUAUUUCUAACAAAGAGAAUUUAUUUCUCCAUCUUCCUUUGCAAAAGUCAGUCAUGCUUACCAAGGAACCUGAUUGAUUGUGCAAAAUCCACAGACAUUAGAUGGCCACUGAAGGCAAAAAUGUUAAUUAUCUAGCAUUUUAGUAGGGAAAUCAAAAAUCUAACCUUUAGAAAAGGACUAUCAGGGACUACUUCAGGGAAUAAUAAUCAAAUAUUGAGGAUUCUAACCCACUAUUCACCAGUUCAGCUCUUGUCUCCUGGGACCAAAAGUUAUUAUCGCCUGGCAGGUUUUCCAUAAACUUAUAUCAAAGUUUGAUGGGACCAGCUGAAUUUGCUGGGGAUACAUGACCUCAUCAUAACCUAGUACAAAUACCAAAAGACCAAAAAGUGCAUAGCAAUCAAAGUAUUCUCUUUCCCAUACAAAUCAAGAUCAGGGUGUAAGGGACAUUUUUAGAGGCGCAGAAACAUUCUGCUAUUCUCCCUUGUUACCUUAACUCUAAUAGGCACUUCUACCAACUAAAAGCUAAUCAACUACUCCCCACCCCAAAAUAAAUGUGAAUGUUUACUUGACAGAUUCAUAGAAAAGUACCGGAGUGCAUAUGUCUUUAGAAUUAUAUUGGCUAUGGAGAUCACAAUUGUGGUCCCACUGAGAGCCUUUAGUCCAAGAAAUGUUAGAAUCUCUUAAUUUAAAAUCUCAAUUAUUAUAAAUUUUUUGAUGUUUUUUAAAGUAAGAUGGUAAAGAUAGACCUAAAAUCAUAUUAGAAUGUGAAGCAAAUUAGAGUAAAGUUGUAUCACUUGGCCAUUUGAAUACCUUUAAGGAGAGUACCACAAAACCCAAAGCGAUCAAAGCACUCAGCUUGCUUGGUUAGAAUCAGAAAUCAGGACCUAGCCGAAGGAGGAGAAAGCAGAAAGUAAACAGUUUGUAGGGGUCAUCCUUGACUGUUUUUAAGGUUGAGGGCGGGAUAUUU